rnacentral:rRNA from 1 species
AGGGUUUGAUCAUGGCUCAGGACGAACGCUGGCGGCGUGCUUAACACAUGCAAGUCGAACGGAAAGGCCCUUCGGGGUACUCGAGUGGCGAACGGGUGAGUAACACGUGGGUGAUCUGCCCUGCACUCUGGGAUAAGCCUGGGAAACUGGGUCUAAUACCGGAUAGGACCACACACUUCAUGGUGAGUGGUGCAAAGCUUUUGCGGUGUGGGAUGAGCCCGCGGCCUAUCAGCUUGUUGGUGGGGUAAUGGCCCACCAAGGCGACGACGGGUAGCCGGCCUGAGAGGGUGACCGGCCACACUGGGACUGAGAUACGGCCCAGACUCCUACGGGAGGCAGCAGUGGGGAAUAUUGCACAAUGGGCGCAAGCCUGAUGCAGCGACGCCGCGUGAGGGAUGACGGCCUUCGGGUUGUAAACCUCUUUCAGUAGGGACGAAGCGAAAGUGACGGUACCUACAGAAGAAGGACCGGCCAACUACGUGCCAGCCGCCGCGGUAAUAC